GAUUAAAAUGUCUUCGACUGGAUCAAAGGACUUUAGACAUGGAAAUUAAAGGUACUGAAAUGUAAAUUGGACAUGGAAAUUAAACAAUGCUUGAAAGAUAAAUUUGCUUGAAAGAUAAAUUUUUUGCAAGAAUCAUAAAUGAAAGGUAAAGACAAUGGAAGGAACCCUACAGAAAUCGAACUCGAAUGCAGACUCAAAAAUUCGCUGGGAUAUGAGUGUGUUUGAGUGUAUUUCUGAAAAGAAGUUUCAACCCCUAUUUCCUAAAAUUUACUAAUAUUUAUAACUCACCUCCAUAACCUAUCAUUAAUUGCGAUGCUGCCUUGUAUGCGAAUUCCUAAGUAACUAUUCCCGCUCUUUUACCCAUGAGCGUUACCAAUAAAUUCCUAACUCAGAGAAAGUCUUCGACUUCUCUAUUCUUAUAACUGCUCAAUUCUCUAUUCGAAAACCGAUUCGAUUUUUCAUUUGAGUAAUUGCUAAGGUAUUGAAAUCGAGUCUGUGUUAAAUAAUUUCUAUUUAACGUUUGCACAUGUGUCUUUUCGACCUCUACUUCUUUUCCGACCUUUCAUUAACUUU
rnacentral:lncRNA from 1 species